rnacentral:rRNA from 1 species
GAUGAACGCUGGCGGCGUGCCUAAUACAUGCAAGUCGAGCGAACAGACGAGGAGCUUGCUCCUCUGACGUUAGCGGCGGACGGGUGAGUAACACGUGGAUAACCUACCUAUAAGACUGGGAUAACUUCGGGAAACCGGAGCUAAUACCGGAUAAUAUAUUGAACCGCAUGGUUCAAUAGUGGAAGACGGUUUUGCUGUCACUUAUAGAUGGAUCCGCGCCGCAUUAGCUAGUUGGUAAGGUAACGGCUUACCAAGGCAACGAUGCGUAGCCGACCUGAGAGGGUGAUCGGCCACACUGGAACUGAGACACGGUCCAGACUCCUACGGGAGGCAGCAGUAGGGAAUCUUCCGCAAUGGGCGAAAGCCUGACGGAGCAACGCCGCGUGAGUGAUGAAGUUCUUCGGAUCGUAAAACUCUGUUAUUAGGGAAGAACAAAUGUGUAAGUAACUAUGCACGUCUUGACGGUACCUAAUCAGAAAGCCACGGCUAACUACGUG